AGGUCGGGCCUUUCAGGCAUCCUCUCCCAAACUUCAAAAGGGCCGCCCGGCAACGGUGCGGCCCCUUUUUUUGCCUGCU
rnacentral:sRNA from 1 species